rfam:Felis catus isolate Cinnamon breed Abyssinian chromosome X, whole genome shotgun sequence.
UUGCCCAUCGGGGCAGCGGAUACCUGCUUUUAAUUUUU